AAGAAAGCCCAAGAAGCAAUUCAAAGCUCUGGCAUUGACACACAACCAGUUCUUUCUGCUGCUAAGACAGUGGCUGAUGCUGCACAACGGACCAACAAGGUAAUUGAAGAGGUGAAACCUAUAGCUUCCUCAACUGUCGAAACCAUUUUGUCAGCAGAUCCUGUUGUGAUUGUAGGAGGUGCUGGAGCAAUUUUUAUUGCAUAUCUGCUCUUUCCUCCCAUAUGGUCCUUCAUCUCCUUCAGCUUCCGUGGUUACAAAGGCAAGCUUACU
rnacentral:misc_RNA from 1 species